AGAGUUUGAUCAUGGCUCAGGACGAACGCUGGCGGCGUGCUUAACACAUGCAGGUCGAGCGGUAAGGCCCUUCGGGGUACACGAGCGGCGAACGGGUGAGUAACACGUGAGUAACCUGCCCCUGACUCUGGGAUAAGCCCGGGAAACCGGGUCUAAUACCGGAUAUGACUCCUGCUCGCAUGGGUGGGGGUGGAAAGGUUGGUUUUCCUUCCGGUCGGGGAUGGGCUCGCGGCCUAUCAGCUUGUUGGUGGGGUGACGGCCUACCAAGGCGAUGACGGGUAGCCGGCCUGAGAGGGCGACCGGCCACACUGGGACUGAGACACGGCCCAGACUCCUGCGGGAGGCAGCAGUGGGGAAUAUUGCGCAAUGGGCGGAAGCCUGACGCAGCGACGCCGCGUGGGGGAUGAAGGCCUUCGGAUUGUAAACCUCUUUUACCACUCACGCAGGCCUUGGGUUUUCCUGGGGUUGACGGUAGGUGGUGAAUAAGGACCGGCUAGCUACGUGCCAGCAGCCGCGGUAAUACGUAGGGUCCGAGCGUUGUCCGGAAUUAUUGGGCGUAAAGAGCUCGUAGGCGGCCUGUCGCGUCUGCUGUGAAAGUCCGGGGCUUAACUCCGGGUGUGCAGUGGAUACGGGCAGGCUUGAGGUAGGUAGGGGAGACUGGAAUUCCUGGUGUAGCGGUGAAAUGCGCAGAUAUCAGGAGGAACACCGGUGGCGAAGGCGGGUCUCUGGGCCUUACCUGACGCUGAGGAGCGAAAGCGUGGGGAGCGAACAGGAUUAGAUACCCUGGUAGUCCACGCCGUAACGUUGGGCGCUAGGUGUGGGGACUUUCCACGGUUUCCGUGCCGUAGCUAACGCAUUAAGCGCCCCGCCUGGGGAGUACGGCCGCAAGGCUAAAACUCAAAGGAAUUGACGG
rnacentral:rRNA from 1 species